rnacentral:rRNA from 1 species
UACAGAGGGUGCAAACGUUGCUCGGAAUUAUUGGGCGUAAAGCGCGUGUAGGCGGCUUGUUAAGUCGGUUGUGAAAACCCAUGGCUCAACCAUGGAAGGGCGUCCGAAACUGGCAAGCUAGAGUCCCGACGAGGAUGGCGGAAUUCCCAGUGUAGAGGUGAAAUUCGUAGAUAUCUGGAGGAACACCGGUGGCGAAGGCGGCAUUCUGGACCAUAACUGACACUGAGAGACGAAAGCCAGGGGAGCAAACGGG